AAGGGAUCCUGAUGGGAAAACUAUUUCUCUUGGAGAUGUCAUCAUUCCUGAAGGAGUUAAACCCUACGAAUUAAAAAUGAAUGUAACUAAACUGAAGAAGUGUGUGGCGUACACGGUGUAUGCACAAGAUGCUGCUAAGGACAAAAUAAUAC